AUUAUGAAAAAGACAGAUUGCAGCCAAUCAUUCGGAAUCCCCUCUCUGUCGGAUGAACCGCAAGACCCCUUGACAGAGCGAGCCCUUCUCCCAGGCCCAUCUGAUCAGCAACUGAAUGACAGUGAAACGAUGGUGGACAUUGGGCGAGGGCUCAUGGUCAAGAAAGGUGCAUGGGAACAUGUGCAGUGCCACCAUAAGGAUUCCUUGUUUGUUAAAGACCUGCUGGUGACCAUUUGGCCAAAAGACAUCCUUAAGGAGCGCUCCCUGCAAGGUUGGUUAUUAUACAAAAACAUGUAGUGUAUAAAAGUUGGUAACUAGAGGAUUCAUUGUUGUGGAUGUCUGUUAUGCAGGGAAACAUUGCCCAAGGUUCCCUGACCGCCCACGUAAGGCUCCCCUUACACCAUGGAAGCUGGACAUAAUGCGUGACUGCUACAGAGCACGCCUAGAGCGUCAAGGUGUGCCUGCAGGAGUACUACCAUUGGCAGUGAAACAAAUGAGUCACUUCAUUGUUGAAAAGCUUGCGGAUAUUGAGAAGCUGGCCAAGCGGGCAAAGGACAACCAGGGCUCUGCUGAAGCGUAACGGUGGAGAACCUUCUGUGCACUUUAUAAAUUGUGUAAAUAUUAUCUAAUGUGUGAAUAAAUAUUC